rnacentral:rRNA from 1 species
UGGGGAAUUUUGCACAAUGGGGGAAACCCUGAUACAGCGACGCCGCGUGAUUUAGAAGGCCUUCGGGUUGUAAAAAUCUUUUUUACGGGAUGAAAAUGACAGUACCGUAAGAAUAAGGUCCGGCUAAAUACGUGCCAGCAGCCGCGGUAAUACGUAUGGACCGAGCGUUGUCCGGAAUCAUUGGGCGUAAAGGGUACGUAGGCGGCCUAGUAAGUUAGAAGUGAAAUAAUAUAGCUCAACUAUAUAAAGCUUUUAAAACUGCUAGGCUUGAGAGAUGGAAGGGAAAGUGGAAUUCCUAGUGUAGCGGUGAAAUGCGCAGAUAUUAGGAAGAAUACCGGUGGCGAAGGCGACUUUCUGGUCAUCAUCUGACGCUGAGGUACGAAAGCGUGGGUAGCAAACAGG